CCUACGGGCGGCAGCAGUGAGGAAUAUUGGUCAAUGGCCGGAAGGCUGAACCAGCCAUGCCGCGUGAAGGUCAGUGCCCUAUGGGCGUUAAACUUCUUUUGUGCGGGAGCAAUAAUGGUCACGUGUGGCCAGACGAGAGUACCGUACGAAUAAGCAUCGGCUAACUCCGUGCCAGCAGCCGCGGUAAUACCGGGGGUGCAAGCGUGAUCCGGAUUUAUUGGGUUUAAAGGGUGCGUAGGCUGUGAGGUAAGUCAGCGUGGAAAUGCCCCCGCUCAACGGGGUGAAGUGCCAUUGAUACUGCCUUGCUGGAAGGCGGAUGCGGUGGGAGGAAUGUGUGGUGUAGCGGUGAAAUGCAUAGAUAUCACACAGAACACCGAUUGCGAAGGCAUCUCACGAAUCCGCGAUUGACGCUGAUGCACGAAAGCGUGGGUAUCAAACAGGAUUAGAUACCCCAGUAGUC
rnacentral:rRNA from 1 species